rnacentral:tRNA from 1 species
GUUCCUGUAGUUAAGUUCAUAACAAUGGCUUUUCAUGCCGUAGACCCCGGAUGGAGUCCGGGCAGGAACC